rnacentral:rRNA from 1 species
CCUACGGGUGGCAGCAGUGGGGAAUAUUGCACAAUGGAGGAAACUCUGAUGCAGCAACGCCGCGUGGAGGAUGACACUUUUCGGAGCGUAAACUCCUUUUAUAUAGGAAGAUAAUGACGGUACUAUAUGAAUAAGCACCGGCUAACUCCGUGCCAGCAGCCGCGGUAAUACGGAGGGUGCAAGCGUUACUCGGAAUCACUGGGCGUAAAGAGCGUGUAGGCGGGUUAUUAAGUCAGGGGUGAAAUCCCACGGCUCAACCGUGGAACUGCCUUUGAAACUGCGGGGCUUGAAUCCUGGAGAGGGUGGCGGAAUUCCUGGUGUAGGAGUGAAAUCCGUAGAUAUCAGGAGGAACACCAGUGGCGAAGGCGGCUUCCUGGACCGAUACUGACGCUGAGGCGCGAAAGCGUGGGGAGCAAACAGGAUUAGAUACCCGAGUAGUC